GCGUGCUGUUUUGUUUUCCCCGCGUUGCGCCGUGCACAAUGCUCAGUGAGAGUGAUAGCAUGAGCAGAGAUUAUGACUCCGACUUCGAAGAGCGGCCCAUUGAACGACAACACACAAUAAAGGCAUAUGCGCACGAUCCGUCUCCUUCAUAUAGCGACGACGAUCAACCGCAGCAGUCCCCCUCUGCGGUGCCGAGGGAGCCAGGACCAAUGACGUGAAAAUUUCAGACAGCUCAUCAGCAACUUGCAAACGACGGUGGUAAAUGUGCCUCAGAAGAUGUACCAUCGAGGGCAAACAAAGUGCGGACGGUGUAACAUGUGGCCGAAACAUAAAUAAAGUAAUAAAGAAAGCAUCAUGUGGUAACCCGGAAGGUGGAGUUAUAUGAAGAGGAAAGAUAAAAUGAGUCAUCCACCAACCAUAGAAAGCUGCUACAAAGGAAAGCCCUACAUGGUCGUCGGAAAACCUUAACAAACUUACCACAUGCUUCAGACAGCCUCCUUGAUUCAGCAUUGCUUCGACAAGUGGACUCCAAAGACAACUUCUAUUUCCGAAGAGCUGGUACAUAGCUGAAGCAUCCCUCGCUGGCCCGCUGUUGGUGAAUUAAUACUUCUGUCCUCCUGUGAGUCCUUCAUCUCAUUUCCUCCAUUAGCGCGGAAGAU